GCCGAUGUAGCUUAGUUGGUUAUAGCACGUGAUUUGUAAUCUCGAGGUCGUGGGUUCGAAUCCCUCCAUCGGCUCUA
rnacentral:tRNA from 15 species